UCUCAUUCUCUCAAAUCCGCCGAACGCCCAAACCCUAGUCCAGCCACGCAAUCGCCCUCGCAAGUCGCAACUCCACCGGCGAGCCGCGCAGCGCCGCAGCCCUCUCCGGCGACUCGGCGAGAGAGGAGUCGCAGGCUCGAAGCCCUCCACUCCGCGUCUCCGCCUGUCCCCCAGCCCCCAGGUGCCAGCCCUCUCUCCACUUCUCCAGUCUUCAUAGUUCACAGUUUCACAGAGCCCUUCGUAGCCUCAGCGGCUCAGCAUCUCUAUCAAAGGGUUGAUGAAAUUUUGUUGACAGAUCUUGUCACAUCAAUUCAUGAGACUUGGUUCUGUGCAAGAUGCUUGAACACUUCUAAACCUGCUGGUGAAGGUGUGAUUAUCAUGCAAACAGUGGCAUUCCUCUUGGCUGGACUAGCAAAUUGUCCUUGACGAAAAAGCUGGGUCAUGCAAAGGAAGAAUGAGUUCUGUUGUGCAAAUGAGGGGUUCAAUUCCUCUUUUAUGGUCACAAGAAGCUUCAAGAUUUAGUCCAAAACCAGAUAUAAUUUUACAAAGAUAUGAUCCAACUUAUGAGGCAACAAAGAUGCAUUUUGAAGACCUGGCAAGGAGAUAUGGAAACCCCAUCAUUUUACUUAAUCUAAUAAAGAUUAGUGUCUAAAGCUUAUCUUAAUUCUUAUCGGUCGGUUAUUGACCGUAAUCGACUGAUGCUCACCCCUAGUUGACGCUAUAGUACUAUGAAACCUAUAUGGUCUGUCUUCACAAGUGUGUUGUUUGGGGCAGAACUGUAAAAUUCACCAUUCUGUGGUUGGACUUAGAUCAUGCAUAUCAGAGGGAGCAAUUAUACAUUAAUGACGGGAGCAGAUUACUAUGAGUGAAAAUGUUCAAGAAGCAGCUAGGGAAACUGAAGGAUAUUUCACUAAAAGUGGAAUCGUCACAAUCAUCAAGGAUGCAUUGAUUCCCAGUGGAAUCAUCAUGUAGAAGUAUUUGAAAAUCAUGUGUACAUGAUUACUGUAGUGUAGCCGUUAGAGAGACUAAUGAUGCAUCUUGUUAAACCUUUUGUUUUAGUUUUGAAAUUUUAAAUAAUAAAGAAUUAUUGUCAUCUCUAUGCUGCUUUUUUCCCA